rnacentral:rRNA from 1 species
GACGAACGCUGGCGGCGUGCUUAACACAUGCAAGUCGAGCGGUAAGGCCCUUCGGGGUACACGAGCGGCGAACGGGUGAGUAACACGUGAGCAAUCUGCCCUUCACUCAGGGAUAACCACCGGAAACGGUGGCUAAUACCUGAUAUGACCACUUCACGCAUGUGAUGGUGGUGGAAAGUUCUGGCGGUGGAGGAUGAGCUCGCGGCCUAUCAGCUUGUUGGUGGGGUAAUGGCCUACCAAGGCAACGACGGGUAGCCGGCCUGAGAGGGUGACCGGCCACACUGGGACUGAGACACGGCCCAGACUCCUACGGGAGGCAGCAGUGGGGAAUAUUGGACAAUGGGCGAAAGCCUGAUCCAGCAACGCCGCGUGAGGGAUGACGGCCUUCGGGUUGUAAACCUCUUUCAGUACCGACGAAGCGCAAGUGACGGUAGGUACAGAAGAAGCACCGGCCAACUACGUGCCAGCCGCCGCGGUAACAC